rnacentral:rRNA from 1 species
AACGUAGGACGCGAGCGUUAUCCGGAGUUACUGGGCGUAAAGCGCGGGCAGGCGGUCUGACAAGUCUGAUGUGAAAUCUCCGGGCUUAACCGGGAGAGGCCAUUGGAAACUGACAGGCUGGAGGGCAGUAGAGGUAGGCGGAAUUCCGGGUGGAGUGGUGAAAUGCGCAGAUAUCAGGAGGAACACCGGUGGCGAAGGCGGGUCUCUGGGCCGAUACUGACGCUGAGGAGCGAAAGCGUGGGGAGCGAACAGG